CACCGCGGUUAUACGGAGGACCCAAGCUGAUAGACACCGGCGUAAAGCGUGGUUACGGACCUAAAUUACUAAAGUUAAACACUUCCCUGGCAGUUAUACGCCCCCGGAAGUUGGAGACCCCUCUACGAAGGUGACUUUAACCCUUUUCCCGAGCCCACCACAGCUAAGAGA
rnacentral:rRNA from 1 species